GUAGGCAUAGUUUAACAAAAACACUAGAUUGUGAUUCUAGUAAUAGGGGUUAAACUCCUCUUGCCCACC
rnacentral:tRNA from 1 species